rnacentral:rRNA from 1 species
UACGAGGGGGGCGAGCGUUGUUCGGAAUUAUUGGGCGUAAAGGGUGCGUAGGCGGUUCCGCAAGUCCUGUGUGAAAUCUUCGGGCUCAACUCGAAGUCUGCACGGGAAACUGCGGGGCUUGAGUGUGGGAGAGGUGAGUGGAAUUCCCGGUGUAGCAGUGAAAUGCGUAGAGAUCGGGAGGAACACCAGUGGCGAAGGCGACUACCUGGACCAGCACUGACACUGAGGCACGAAAGCGUGGGGAGCAAACAGG